UGGGGAAUUUUGGACAAUGGGGGAAACCCUGAUCCAGCCAUCCCGCGUGUGCGAUGAAGGCCUUCGGGUUGUAAAGCACUUUUGGCAGGAAAGAAACGUCAUGGGUUAAUACCCCGUGAAACUGACGGUACCUGCAGAAUAAGCACCGGCUAACUACGUGCCAGCAGCCGCGGUAAUACGUAGGGUGCAAGCGUUAAUCGGAAUUACUGGGCGUAAAGCGUGCGCAGGCGGUUCGGAAAGAAAGAUGUGAAAUCCCAGAGCUCAACUUUGGAACUGCAUUUUUAACUACCGGGCUAGAGUGUGUCAGAGGGAGGUGGAAUUCCGCGGGUAGCAGUGAAAUGCGUAGAUAUGCGGAGGAACACCGAGGGCGAAGGCAGCCUCCUGGGAUAACACUGACGCUCAUGCACGAAAGCAUGGGGAGCAAACAGG
rnacentral:rRNA from 1 species